rnacentral:lncRNA from 1 species
ACAUAAAUCAUACAUUCUCUUUCGGAUGUGUACAUAACAUUCAGGGUGCGUUUGGUUCGCAUUAUGAAAGAUUACUAUUCCUAUUCAUUCUAUUACUAAAAAUGUGUAAUUCCUAUGUUUGGUUCGCAUGGUAAUAUUAAUUAGCCAUGUUAUUUAAUAUUACAAAAAAUAUACAAUUAAUUAAUUUAUUUAUUUAUUUAAUUUUAGAUAAUGUUAUCAAAAGUUUCAACAUCUUUUUUAAAAAAAGAGAGAGAGAGUAUAAGUUAGAGAGAGAGAGCAUAAUUAAAAAAAUAGAAAGAAAAAUAUAGUCGAAAUUAGAGGGAGUGAGAGAGUUGAAAUUUUAGAAAGAGAGAGAGAGAGAGAAAGCUUAGUUUAGAGAGAGAAAAAAAGUUGAAUUUUAGAGAGAAAAAUAAGUUUAGAGAGAAAUAUAAGGUUAGAGUGUAAUGAAAAAUAAUAUCAAUUAGCCGGCGGGUAGGAAGAAAGAAAGAGAUUAGACAUAUUAUGAUUACCCCAAUCCAUUAAUAUGAGAAUACCCACCCUCCCUCAAAGGAAUGAGAUUACUACUUUGGGAUGAAUCUUAUUCCCAAGUGAAUCCAAUAAUACCAACUAAAUUACUUAGUGCGUUUAGCCAAACACCGUCAUAUUUUUUUUAUUCCCAUUGAAUUAUUAGGAACCUUUAAAAGAUAGCGCGAACCAAACGCACCAUUAGUAUUUCCAAUUAAAAGUCCCCUUUUUGCAUAUGUACCCUUAAAA